ACUCCUACGGAGGCAGGCAGCAGUGGGGAAUAUUGCACAAUGGGCGCAAGCCUGAUGCAGCCAUGCCGCGUGUAUGAAGAAGGCCUUCGGGUUGUAAAGUACUUUCAGCGAGGAGGAAGGCAUUAAGGUUAAUAACCUUGGUGAUUGACGUUACUCGCAGAAGAAGCACCGGCUAACUCCGUGCCAGCAGCCGCGGUAAU
rnacentral:rRNA from 1 species